rnacentral:rRNA from 1 species
UACGGAGGGUGCAAGCGUUAUCCGGAUUCACUGGGUUUAAAGGGUGCGUAGGUGGGCAGGUAAGUCCGCUGUGAAAGUCAAAGGCUCAACCUUUGAAUGUCAGCGGAUACUGCCGGGCUAGAGUCCGGAAGAGGCGAGUGGAACUCCUGGUGUAGCGGUGGAAUGCGCAGAUAUCAGGAAGAACACCAACGGCGAAGGCAGCUCGCUGGGACGGAACUGACGCUAAGGCGCGAAAGCGUGGGGAGCGAACAGG